AUUAUGAAAAAGUUUGACUGAAAUAAUUUCGAACUUAUUAAAUCUUGUCAUUUGAUAUAAAAAGAAAUAAACUUCCAGCUAUAUUUAAUUGUUUUUUAUAUAAAACAAGUAUGUGAGAAACCUUUCAGGAACAAGUUGUCUACUAUAGCCAGCCAAGCCUUUACUGCAUGUGCACAUUUUUAGUUGAUGCAUCUAAAAGAUAUAGUUUUGAUUCGGUGUUUCUUUGUUUUCUUUUUAUUCAAAUAAUUUUAAAAUGUGAUGAUGUACACAACAAUAAUUAGUACCUAGUUUAGAGGAUUUUUGUUUGUAAACAACGCGCGGCAUUGUGGGAAAUAGGAAGGUACUAAAGACGCGAUGUACUAAACACUGAUUUGACCUGAUUCAAAUUUGUCUGUGAAUGUUCCAAACAAUUGAAUUUUUGUAUAGCAUAUGCCUCGAAGUCAUAAAGUCUGUAUAUAAGUAAGUUAAAAUACUCAAUAUUACCAUUUAAUUAAAAAAUUAAAACGUCAGGUAAAUAUCAGGUCUCUAGUAUAUCCCGUUUUUAGUGUGCCCCUUCGAGUCGAUGUCGGACACAUGUUUACAAACUGAAAAUAGAAUGAUUUGUGAAGUUGAACGUUUUCUCACCAAAGAAUACGUAUGUAGACAUGCACACUCAUUUAAUCUGCAGCUACGAAGUACUUUGUCACUCCUCUGGAACAUUAUUCUAAGCAGAAUUAUUCAGAUUCAUAUAUUCUAAGAAACUUGUGUGAAUUGUUUACGAGGAAAUUCCAACUGUCACAUUAACAAGGAUGAGCACUCUUGACUCUGCUUGGGAUUUCCUAGUGAUAAUUGCAUCGAGUGAUGAAAGAGCUGACGGCGACAUUUUAAUGUAUGAUUGGCUUGGACCAUUGGAAUGAAGUCAUUUCAUGGUGCCACCACUUGGGAUGGUAUUAGCUGCAAAUAUAGACUUGUACUUAGCACUUAUUGCCUUUAAGAAGUAUGAGAUCCAUUUUGUGCUAACACCUACCAUGACACAGAAUCUUGGUUUAUGCAGUCUCAUAGGAGUAACCUGUCUAAAGCAUUUAGCAAUGGGAUUGGAGCCUGAGACGUGUGACUCAUCUGAAUACUGAAUUUUGAUACCAAGCAUGACCGUGAUUUGCCAGAAGAUCAUCUGUUUGGAUGUGACAUGGAAUAAACAGCAUAGUGAAAAUAAGUCAAGUUUUGGUUUGUGACGACAACUUUUAAACACACUGUGUAUCAUUUUUAAAUUUUGAUUUCACAACAUAAAUCCACAAAUAUGAGCAUAUCAAUUGCUCUCGGUUUUUCAAGUGAAAUAGUUUUUGUAACAGAAAUACAUGUACCAGUAAUUACAUUGGACAAAAUGUUAUUUUUAAAUAUAAUAAUAUUUUGUUUGUGUUGCAUGUUGACCUCUUUAUUAAGGUCUUCCCUUUCAAAGUUUAGACUUACUUAUUCUAAUGAUUUAGAUAGAUCCUCUGUCUUCAGCAGGAAUAUAAGAUCUUGUAAUACAUGUAUGUGUAUUUUUACAGUAUAAUGUAAAAAAAAAAUUAUUUUGGCACAUACAAUUAAAUAAAGUCAUAUACAUGUGUAUGAUUCCAAGGAAUUCAAUACAUAGGGCAUGUACAUGUAGUUUUCUAAAACAAGAUUAAAGAGAUGUCCAGUCACAUUUCAAUGUCAACUGCAAAACUGUGCCUGUUGCAUACUUAUUAGCCCAUCUGAGCUAAAAGAACAAGUAAAUUUUUUAAAAACAUAAUUUUAUCCAUUAUCAUCAUUGUCUAAAAUUUCACAAUAUCAUUUUCCAGAACCAAAGUGAAACUUGGCAUAGAGCAUCCUUAGUGUAGGGGAUUCAAAUUGUUCUUAUGCAGGGCAAUACUUUCAAAGAGAUUUGUUUCUUUAAUGCUGUAAAUGUAUUAUAUUUAGCAUGUACAAUAUUUGGUGGAAAUUGACUUUUGAAUAAGUUAGC